rnacentral:rRNA from 1 species
UACGGGGGGAGCAAGCGUUGUUCGGAUUUACUGGGCGUAAAGGGCGCGUAGGCGGCCACCGCAAGUCGGUUGUGAAAUCUCUGGGCUUAACCCAGAAAGGUCAACCGAUACUGCGGGGCUAGAGUGCAGAAGGGGCAACUGGAAUUCUCGGUGUAGCGGUGAAAUGCGUAGAUAUCGAGAGGAACACCUGCGGCGAAGGCGAGUCUCUGGACAUUUCCUGACGCUGGGCACGAAAGCCAGGGGAGCAAACGGG